UCCGCCCUUCCCUCCCCCAUCCUGCGCGCUGCCUCCGCCUCCUUCUUCUGCCUCCACCCUCAACCCCCAUCCCAGCCUGACGGGAGCUAGCCCUCAGUCCUCCCGAGCUCUGGUUGUGAGCGCCGGACAAGUCCAAGGCGCCUCCUCCCAAUAUGGACAGCCGCUACACCAGCACUGCGGGCAUCGGGGACUUGAACCAGCUGAGCGCUGCCAUCCCGGCCACGCGAGUGGAGGUGUCCGUGUCCUGCAGAAAUCUUCUUGACAGAGACACAUUUUCUAAAUCUGAUCCAAUUUGUGUCUUAUAUGUACAAGGAGUUGGAAAUAAAGAAUGGAGAGAGAUUACUCUGGAUGUCACAUAGAAGAUGAACUGGAAGGAGAACAAAAGAAGAAGCAGAAAUGUAAGUUAGGAGGCUCUUUGGGUAGACCAUGAGAGGGACGAAAAGCUUGAAUUAGGCUGAUAAUAGGAGCUAUGGAGAGAAGUAAACAGCUGUGAGGCAUAUUUUGGAGUUAUAACUGAUAACUUAUGAGCUAGUGAUGAAUAGGAGUUGGCAGAUUAAAAAGAAAGACUUGAGAUUGAUGACUUUCAUUUAUGGCCUGAUAAAUCAAGCGGAUAGUGGUAGCAUUUAUUGACAAGAAGUAAACUUGGUAAGCCACCAGUAUUAGGGUGAUAUUUGUGAUACAAAAUAAUUAUUUUAUGUUUGGAUGAUACUUUUGAGGGAUCUAUAAAACAACCACUUAUAUAAGUUAAGAAAGCAGUUGUAUGCAUGAGUCUGUACCCAGAAGUGAGUCUCAGAGCUGAUGACAUGCCUUUGGAAGUUAUCGUGUAGAUGGUAUUUGAAACCGAAGAAAUUAUCCUGGUCUGUUUUGUGUUGCUAUAACAGAAUACCUGAGACCAGGUAAUUUAAA